UCACAGUUCCGGAGUGGAGGGAGGAAGUCCGAUCCCGCUGCCAGGUCCCCUCCCUCCAGGCCCCACCGAGAUCGCCAGGAGCGCCUGGGCAGCGCCGCGCUCCGGCCCUGGGCCGCCGCUCCUGGGAAAGAGCUCGGGUGGCGGAGCGGCCCCCACGACCUGGUUCGAAGUGGUGUGAAGGACCUAGGGGAAACGACGUCCUGCUGGCCAACCCAGAGCCGUUUGUCCUGGGAGGGACGGAAUGCAGGAGUGCAGGCCAGUACACCCAAUCCUAACCCUGAGCACGCCUGUGACAUGUCUCACCCCUGCCCGCAAUUCUGAAAUAGUUUUGGGAUCACGAGAAUUGAAGGACUUGUCCUGGCAUCCUCCCAAGCACAGGAAGAGGCAAGCACCCAGGAAAGGAGGAUGUGCCAAGUUUCCAACCUUUAUACAAGCUGAACAAGCAGUCUACCUACCACUGAGCUACAUCCCCAGCCCUUGUUAAAUUCUAUUUUGAGACGGGUCUCACUAAGCUGCCUAUGCUGGCCUUGAACUUGCCAUCCUUUCUGCUGCAGCCUCCUGAGUAGCUGGGAUUGCACUACCACAACUGUCUACCAUAAUUAUUCUUACAGGAGCUCCAGGCAGGCUGGGUGACUAGAAGGAACAUCAUCAUACAGAACCCACCCUACAGGGAAGGGGGGAAACCAGGGAAGAAGAUCCAUACAUUCUGGAGGCUGGAAGUACAAGGUCAAGGUACUGGCAGCCACCAUGAGGAGAGAAGCUUUGCUCCACCACGUGUUCCACUCCAGAAGAUUCUGACUCACCAUGGUCCAGAAACAAUGGAGUCAAAUAACCAGGGACUGAAACCUAUGAAACAGGGAGUCAAAAUAAACCUUCCCCCAUCUAAAAUUGUUCAUCUCAUGUAUUUUGUCAUAGUAAUGGAAAGCUGAGCACCACUGUAGCUCUUUGAAGUAAGAUUUGAAAUCAGAAUAUGAGUCUUCCAACUUUGUUCCUUCAAUUUUUUUUGUUUUUUGCUACUCUUGAGUUUCUUGCAUUUCCAUAGGAAUCCAAGAUUGUCUUACCAAUUUUUGUUAAAAAUAAAAUAAAAGCAAAAAGCAGCUGGUAUUUUUUCAGAAAUUACACUGAAUUUGUGAUCACUUUGGAUAGUAUUGCCAUCUUCAUGGCACUAAGUCUUCUAAUCCAUAAA